rnacentral:rRNA from 1 species
GACGAACGCUGGCGGCGUGCUUAACACGUGCAAGUCGAACGGAAAGGCCCUGCUUUUGUGGGGUGCUCGAGUGGCGAACGGGUGAGUAACACGUGAGUAACCUGCCCUUGACUUUGGGAUAACUUCAGGAAACUGGGGCUAAUACCGGCUAGGAGCUCCUGCUGCAUGGUGGGGGUUGGAAAGUUUCGGAGGUUGGGGAUGGACUCGCGGCUUAUCAGCUGGUUGGUGGGGUAGUGGCUUACCAAGGCUUUGACGGGUAGCCGGCCUGAGAGGGUGACCGGCCACAUUGGGACUGAGAUACGGCCCAGAGUCCUACGGGAGGCAGCAGUGGGGAAUAUUGCACAAUGGGCGGAAGCCUGAUGCAGCAACGCCGGGUGCGGGAUGACGGCCUUCGGGUUGUAAACCGCUUUCGCCUGUGACGAAGCGUGAGUGACGGUAAUGGGUAAAGAAGCACCGGCUAACUACGUG